AGAUAUGAUCCAGAGUACCACGGGACACGUGAAACCCUGUGGGAAGCAGGAGGGACCACCCUCCAAGGCUAAAUACUACCUAGUGACCGAUAGCGUAUAGUACCGUGAGGGAAAGGUGAAAAGAACCCCGGGAGGGGAGUGAAAUAGAACCUGAAACCCUGCACUUACAAGCUGUGGAAGCACAUUUCUUGUGUGACCGCGUACUUUUUGUAGAACGGGCCAACGAGUUACGUUAAGUAGCAAGGUUAAGCACUUAAGGUGUGGAGCCGUAGCGAAAGCGAGUUU
rnacentral:rRNA from 1 species